CUGAGAAAAAAAUUCGUUGGCUUCAUAGACCGUGAGGGUUCAAGUCCCU
rnacentral:tRNA from 1 species